AGUUCCCCAGGAGUGUAGCAGGCAGUCUUGUAGCUCUUUGAAGGUGUGUACAGUAACGCUAAUAAUUAAACACACGAGUGACAAUUUUUACCUUCAGAACCUCACAAGAAAUGCAGAAAAGUUCAAGCUACAAAACAUUAAGAACAGAAGUGUUAGUCAGUCUGUUACGAAGCGUAGACGGAGACAAGCGCGGGCGAGCGGUGAGAUGGCGUGUUACUGAACACAGAACGAGAAUCGGAUUGGAACAGAGCAGACACCACACACAUAUCGUCGCGUAUCCUCACUUGAGUGUGCAGAAUAAAUGCAGUGGAUGAUCAUUUGAUUAAACACCGAACUCUGGACUACUGCCUCAUUGUGUGUUCUUGCUGCAAGAACAUAUGACCUGUAAUAUAUUUAUUACACGUACAAAUGUGAUGUUGUCCAAGCUUGCCACUCUUUGGAUUUUGGUGAAUUGAUGAUGACGCUUUAAUGCUCUUUUGCAUGUGCUUUAAAUGAAUUCAGACAAACUGAAGUGACUAAGUUGUAAGCUGGGCCAGCGGAGAAGCAACAGAAGGAUUACAGAGUUGAGACGCAUAACAAUUAAAAAAAAAAAACUUAAAAGACGAAAUCUCUCUGUUUCAUGUGUCUCCUGUUGGUACUUUAUGGGAUGGCUGUAAGUCUGGUAAUAGAAUACAGUUUCGUUGCUCAGUCGAUGGACAGGGCUACUGCUCAGAACUAUUGCAGGCAGCGCUAUGGGGAUUUGGCUAUCAUCACUACUGAAGAGGAAAACCAGAGAGCUGUGACGGUUACAGGGCAAAACAACUUUAAGUCUUGGAAUGGGCUGGACAGAAUUACACCACAUGUCAACACCUGGAAGUGGUCUUAUGGAAAAGAAGUAAAUUUCACAAAGUGGAACCCCGGCGAGCCGAAUGAUCAGUUUUCAGGAGAGAAUUGUGCUGUUAUGAAUUCAAAUGGCUGGUGUGAUACUACCUGUGGGGGAUAUUUAACUUCCAUUUGUUGUAGGAGGUUCGUGUUGGUGAAGGAGAAAAAAACAUGGGAUGAGACUCUCAAGUACUGCAGGACGCACUACACUGACUUGACCUUUGUGGAUUCGAGAACACUGCUAGACCUGCUUAAAACAGAGACUCAACAAGCUCAAACAGCCAGUGUGUGGACAGGUCUGCGUUUCCUCGAUGGACAAUGGUUCUGGGUGAACAGGAUGCCGCUGGGGAGCCUGGUAUCACUGCCUUCAUGCCCUGUCCAACCCUAUCGCUGUGGUGUGUACAACUUCAACACGAACGUCUGGGAGAACAGAGACUGCAACGAGAAGCUUAAUUUCCUCUGCUAUUAUUACUGAAGAUGACUCUCUGCAAAUGGAAUAAGAAGAACAUCUCCCUCAAGAAGCGUUCUUCAAGAAUUCAUUCAGAUCUAGAUAUUAUGUAGUAUGUUUAACCCAGGAUCAUCACUUAAACUACAACUUAAUCUAUAAUAUAACAGUGAAUUGCGGCAGGUGUAAUGAUUUCAUGUUAGAACAUUAUGUAUUUCAGAGUAAAUGUUUGGUGGUUGUUUUUCAGUGACUUGUAGGGAAAAACUAGAACGCUAGUGUUUAAAAAAAUUUAAUGGAAUGAAGAUAACCAUUAAUGCUUGUUAGCUAAUCCAAGAUAACUUGAAGGCUGAAGUUAUGUUGUUCUAUAGAGGCCUGCUUUCUUAGUUUGCAUUUGACGGCUUUGAAUAGGAAAUCUGAUGUGCAAAGGUAUAGUACUUUUCGACAUUACUUUGCAUUGACCUUGAGGCACAAAAUACAUUUAAUCAUUGUUAUUCCUGUACUGAAUACUAUCCUAAAAACACAUUGCUGUAAAGAGAAUACCUCUAAGUUGUUAAAAAUGUCAACUUUAAGUAAAGUAAGACAUGUAAAAACUAGACUCAAUUCACCCCCUGUUGACAUCUAUACCACAGACUAUGUGGAUCUUUGUGGAUUGUAUGUUCCUGAAGCACCCUGCUGUUCAUAUGUUAAAACUUCUCUUGCAUUUUUUUUGUUUGUUUGUUUUUGAGGAUAAGCAGUAAGGAUAAGGGAUGGAUUUCCUUACUGCUUAUCCUGCAUAGGGUUGCGUAGGAGCCUGGAAUCUAUCCCAGGGAUCUCAGGGAACCCAUUGCAGGGCACAAUGACAUACACACUCACACACCCAUUCAUACAUUACGGACAAUUUUGGAAAUGCCAAUCAGCCUACAACAAAUGUCUUUGGACUGUGGGAAGAAUCUGGAAUACCUGGAGGAAACCCCCAAAGCACGGGGAGAGCAUGCAAACUAUGUGCUCACAUGGCAGAGACAGAAUUCAAACCACUAAACCACUGUGCUCCCCCAUGCAUACACCCCCCCCCCCCCCGAUAUAUAUAUAUCUACAUAUAUAAAUCAAUAUCUAUAACCAACAUUUAGAAUUAUUACUUAAGCAUAAUCUAAUAAUUGAUAUUAGUUAACAAGCAUAAUCUAUAUGUAUAAUCAAUAUUUAGAAGCAUAAUCUAAAUCCAUAGAACACUUUUUGAUCAAGUUAUAUUCUAAGUGUGUAUUGAGUUAGAUGAAUUCUGUGUCUUACUGUACAGUAAUAGUUUUUCUGUAUCAGCCUGUACCUUCCUACAUAGAAAUAAAUUUGCAUUAGACAUUCGUUGAAAACUGCUUUUGUAAGUAAAUAACUUUGAGGCUGGAAACCAGUUAACGAUUUAGGAUAGGGCCUGAGGAAGGGAGGUAGAUAUCAGCUAGGACAGCAGAUAGAAAUAGACAGAAGCUCACUGAGACAUAAGAAGGGAGUGUUGGUCAGAGAGCAACAAAAAACAAAGACUCUGUCUGAGUGAAACCUUUUU